UACAGAGGGGGCAAGCGUUGUUCGGAAUUACUGGGCGUAAAGGGCUCGUAGGCGGUCUGUCGCGUCGGCUGUGAAAACCCGAGGCUCAACCUCGGGCCUGCAGUCGAUACGGGCAAACAUAGAGUACUGCAGGGGAGACUGGAAUUCCUGGUGUAGCGGUGAAAUGCGCAGAUAUCAGGAGGAACACCGGUGGCGAAGGCGGGUCUCUGGGCAACUACUGACGCUGGAGGAGCGAAAGCGUGGGAGCGAACAGG
rnacentral:rRNA from 1 species